AUUUAUAUAGUUUAAUAAAAACAUUACAUUUUCAAUGUAAAUUUAAAAUAAUUUUUUUUUAUAAAUU
rnacentral:tRNA from 1 species